rnacentral:rRNA from 1 species
UACGAAGGGUGCAAGCGUUAAUCGGAAUUACUGGGCGUAAAGCGCGCGUAGGCGGUUGUGUAAGUCGGAUGUGAAAGCCCCGGGCUCAACCUGGGAAUUGCAUCCGAUACUGCAUGGCUAGAGUCUGGGAGAGGGAAGUGGAAUUCCGGGUGUAGCGGUGAAAUGCGUAGAUAUCCGGAGGAACACCAGUGGCGAAGGCGACUUCCUGGCCCAAGACUGACGCUGAGGUGCGACAGCGUGGGGAGCGAACGGG